GACGAACGCUGGCGGCGUGCCUAAUACAUGCAAGUAGAACGCUGAAGAGAGGAGCUUGCUCUUCUUGGAUGAGUUGCGAACGGGUGAGUAACGCGUAGGUAACCUGCCUUGUAGCGGGGGAUAACUAUUGGAAACGAUAGCUAAUACCGCAUAACAAUGGAUGACACAUGUCAUUUAUUUGAAAGGGGCAAUUGCUCCACUACAAGAUGGACCUGCGUUGUAUUAGCUAGUAGGUGAGGUAAUGGCUCACCUAGGCGACGAUACAUAGCCGACCUGAGAGGGUGAUCGGCCACACUGGGACUGAGACACGGCCCAGACUCCUACGGGAGGCAGCAGUAGGGAAUCUUCGGCAAUGGGGGCAACCCUGACCGAGCAACGCCGCGUGAGUGAAGAAGGUUUUCGGAUCGUAAAGCUCUGUUGUAAGUCAAGAACGGGUGUGAGAGUGGAAAGUUCACACUGUGACGGUAGCUCACCAGAAAGGGACGGCUAACUACGUG
rnacentral:rRNA from 1 species